rnacentral:sRNA from 12 species
CCUAGCUAACUGCACAACAAGGAUGUGUGGGGCAGACUAGGCUACACGUCCUUUCACUAGGGCAAGAAAUUGCUAUAAACAACAACUACAACAGAAAUGAAGUAGCGGUGAUUAGAAUACAGUGAAAGGGCUACUCUUG